rnacentral:misc_RNA from 1 species
CUGAAACGAAGACUGAGAACACUUGGACUUAGUCGACACAAGGAAGUUAUUGAUCAUCAGAGAGUAAUACAUGCCGUUCAGAGUGAGUUACAAGGAAGUGGUUGUUGUCUUGGCUACAGGAGCAUGACGGAACGUUUGCGUAAUGUGCACGGUUUGAGGGUUCCUAGGGACUACGUUAUGAAGCUUUUAAGGGUCAUGGACCCCGACAGGGUUGCAGUUCGAAGAUCUCGCCGCUUUACACGGCGUUUAUAUCACAACAAAGGGCCAAAUUAUCUCAUACACAUCGAUGGCUACGACAAACUGAAACCAUUUGGGUUUGCUAUCCAUGGUGCAAUAUGUGGAGAAUAGAAAGAUGGUGGCUGUCCAUGCGACAAGGUGGAGGUGAUUUUUGGAUAAAUCUCUUCAAGGACAUGGAAUCGCAGGGUAUAGUGGCAACAGACAACACGCUUCACAUG